AUUGCGCCAUUGCACUCCAGCCUAGACAACAAGAGUGAAACUCCAUCUCCAAAAAAAAGAAAAAAGAAAAAAACUUCCUAGUUCUCCUUUUUCCCACUCUAACCCUGCUCCUCCAGAGGUCCUACAGCUACAAUGUCUAGAAGCCAUUUUUUCAGAAACUCCUAAGAACCUGGGACUCAGGCAGGCCCAGUGGAGGGUGGCCAGCCAGAGUGUGCACCAUCUCAGGACAUCGCCAGUGUCCACUCCACUUUCCUGCUCACUGCGCUCUGACUUCUGUGUGAGGGCCCUCCCACACAGAAGGACUCCCAAAUUGGGGGUCCUCCAAUUUGCAUAGUUCUGGAUGGUUUUCACCCACUCUCCAAUUUGCAUAGUUGUGGAUGGCUGGCCCUUUGCUGGGGCCUGGGGUGGGCAUAGAACUCAAACCUGGCCUAGAAGGACAUUGAUUUUGGCCACAGGGAUGGGAGCAGCAAUGGGCUGUGGGCUUUGUGGGUCAUAAGAGCGAGACCAAGACUUCUGCUGGAGUUAUCAGGAACAAGACUCUCUCUCUCUCUCUCCUGGGACUCCCAAGAUGGUAGGGUGCAUGUUGAAGGUACUGCUCAUGCGAAGGCUGCUGGGGAGUGUGGUGGUUCCUUUUAUCUGUUAACUUGGAGGGCAUCUUUGGAUAAGAUUAAUGUUUAAAUUGGUAAACUCUGAAGAAGCAGAUUGCCCUCCAUAAUGGGGAUGGGCCUCAUCCAAUCCACUGAAGGCCUGAGUAGGACAAAAAUGAUUGGCCCUCCCUGCACAAGAGGGAAUUCCUCAGCCGCCCACCUUCGGACUUCACCUGCAUUGUCAGCAAUUCUGGGGCUCUGCUUGCCGGUCUCUAAACCAGAGCGGCACCAUCGGCUCUCCUGCAUCUCGAGUCUGCCAGUCCACAUACCAGGUUCGAGCCUGCCAGUCUCUGUAAUCAGGCACAGAAAACUGACCGUGUACUCUGUUGACCCAGCCUCAACAAACAGGACAUGGUGGCCUGGACCUGUGCUUCUCAGACCAUCC